AAAUUGAAGAGUUUGAUCAUGGCUCAGAUUGAACGCUGGCGGCAGGCCUAACACAUGCAAGUCGAACGGUAACAGGAAGAAGCUUGCUUCUUUGCUGACGAGUGGCGGACGGGUGAGUAAUGUCUGGGAAACUGCCUGAUGGAGGGGGAUAACUACUGGAAACGGUAGCUAAUACCGCAUAACGUCGCAAGACCAAAGAGGGGGACCUUCGGGCCUCUUGCCAUCGGAUGUGCCCAGAU
rnacentral:rRNA from 1 species